GAGGCAUGGGCGAAGCCUGAUCCAGCCAUGCCGCGUGUGUGAAGAAGGCUUUCGGGUUGUAAAGCACUUUCAGUGGGGAAGAAGGCUUGUCGGCCAAUACCCGGCAAGAGCGACAUCACCCACAGAAGAAGCACCGGCUAACUCCGUGCCAGCAGCCGCGGUAAUACGGAGGGUGCAAGCGUUAAUCGGAAUUACUGGGCGUAAAGCGCGCGUAGGCGGCUUGUCACGCCGGGUGUGAAAGCCCCGGGCUCAACCUGGGAACGGCAUCCGGAACGGGCAGGCUAGAGUGCAGGAGAGGAAGGUAGAAUUCCCGGUGUAGCGGUGAAAUGCGUAGAGAUCGGGAGGAAUACCAGUGGCGAAGGCGGCCUUCUGGACUGACACUGACGCUGAGGUGCGAAAGCGUGGGUAGCAAACAGGAUUAGAUACCCUGGUAGUCCACGCCGUAAACGAUGUCGACUAGCCGUUGGGUCCCUUGAGGACUUAGUGGCGCAGUUAACGCGAUAAGUCGACCGCCUGGGGAGUACGGCCGCAAGGUUAAAACUCAAAUGAAUUGACGGGGGCCCGCACAAGCGGUGGAGCAUGUGGUUUAAUUCGAUGCAACGCGAAGAACCUUACCUACCCUUGACAUCCUGCGAACCCGGAAGAGAUUCCGGGGUGCCUUCGGGAGCGCAGAGACAGGUGCUGCAUGGCUGUCGUCAGCUCGUGUUGUGAAAUGUUGGGUUAAGUCCCGUAACGAGCGCAACCCUUGUCCCUAUUUGCCAGCGAUUCGGUCGGGAACUCUAGGGAGACUGCCGGUGACAAACCGGAGGAAGGUGGGGACGACGUCAAGACAUCAUGGCCCUUACGGGUAGGGCUACACACGUGCUACAAUGGCCGGUACAAAGGGUUGCGAAGCCGCGA
rnacentral:rRNA from 1 species